rnacentral:lncRNA from 1 species
AAAUAAGGCACUGUUGCCAGGGCCUGAGCCCAGCAGGAAAAGGGUGUGUGCAGAGGGAGGGCCUCGGGUCCUGCUGCUCCUCCUGGACUCCUUCAUCCCAAUCCCUUCACAUCCUUCUCUGACAAGGACUCCCACGUCCCUCCCCGGCUAACCUGGAUCCUGCUCAACCCAACACCUGCCUUCUCUCGGUCCCUGGGUUCCCGCAGGCCUUGGGGCCCCACAGUCAUAUCUGCUGUUCCUGCAGUUCCCUUCUUCCCUCUGUCCCAGCUCGGCACAGUCACAGCAACUCUCCAAAUCAUGACGCUCAAAAUGCCACAUCUAAAAAGAACAUCCGGGCUCUGCCCCUAAGAAAGAAUUCAUGCACCUACAAAGAGGAAGGAACGGCACAGCCAUCCACCUUUCAACUCCUGAGUUUCCAUCUGCACCCUUCAACACUUAUUAGGACUUACAUGAAACUAUGUGACAUCUUUUUAUUUCUAUUAAACAAAAUACAGCUUUCUUCCUUGUAUCUGAAGAAGUUGGCACCCUCUACACAGAACAGGAGGCCCACAGUUC